rnacentral:rRNA from 1 species
UACGUAGGGACCAAGCGUUGUUCGGAUUUACUGGGCGUAAAGGGCGCGUAGGCGGCAAUUCAAGUCAGUUGUGAAAUCUCCGAGCUUAACUCGGAACGGUCAACUGAUACUGUUUUGCUAGAGUACAGAAGGGGCAAUCGGAAUUCUUGGUGUAGCGGUGAAAUGCGUAGAUAUCAAGAGGAACACCUGAGGUGAAGACGGGUUGCUGGGCUGAUACUGACGCUGAUGCGACGAAGCCAGGGGAGCGAACGGG